GAUGAACAGUGGUGGAAUGUCUGUUUUUUUUCCCCCUAAAGUCUAUGAUAAGCUCCUUGGUCUUUGAUAUGUUUAUGAGCAGGUUGUUCUCUCUGCACCACCCAGUCAGCUGCUCCACCUCAGCCCUGUAUGUGGACUCAUCCCCCCCAGAGAUGAGCCCCACAACUGUGGUAUUGUCUCUGAACCUGAGGA